rnacentral:rRNA from 1 species
GAUGAACGCUGGCGGCGUGCCUAAUACAUGCAAGUCGAGCGAACGGACGAGGAGCUUGCUUUUCUGAUGUUAGCGGCGGACGGGUGAGUAACACGUGGAUAACCUACCUAUAAGACUGGGAUAACUUCGGGAAACCGGAGCUAAUACCGGAUAAUAUUUUGAACCGCAUGGUUCAAAAGUGAAAGACGGUCUUGCUGUCACUUAUAGAUGGAUCCGCGCUGCAUUAGCUAGUUGGUAAGGUAACGGCUUACCAAGGCAACGAUGCAUAGCCGACCUGAGAGGGUGAUCGGCCACACUGGAACUGAGACACGGUCCAGACUCCUAAGGGAGGCAGCAGUAGGGAAUCUUCCGCAAUGGGCGAAAGCCUGACGGAGCAACGCCGAGUGAGUGAUGAAGGUCUUCGGAUCGUAAAACUCUGUUAUUAGGGAAGAACAUAUGUGUAAGUAACUGUGCACAUCUUGACGGUACCUAAUCAGAAAGCCACGGCUAACUACGUG